UGGGGGAUAUUGCACAAUGGGGGGAACCCUGAUGCAGCGACGCCGCGUGAAGGAGGAAGUAUUUCGGUAUGUAAACUUCUAUCAGCAGGGAAGAAAAUGACGGUACCUGACCAAGAAGCUCCGGCUAAAUACGUGCCAGCAGCCGCGGUAAUACGUAUGGAGCAAGCGUUAUCCGGAUUUACUGGGUGUAAAGGGAGCGCAGGCGGCGCUGCAAGCCAGAAGUGAAAAUCCGGGGCCCAACCCCGGAAGUGCUUUUGGAACUGCAGUGCUGGAGUGCAGGAGAGGCAGGCGGAAUUCCUAGUGUAGCGGUGAAAUGCGUAGAUAUUAGGAGGAACACCAGUGGCGAAGGCGGCCUGCUGGACUGUAACUGACGCUGAGGCUCGAAAGCGUGGGGAGCAAACAGG
rnacentral:rRNA from 1 species